rnacentral:rRNA from 1 species
AAGAAAAUCACGAGAAAAACUCGAACACCCGAAAGGUCGUGAGCUAACUUCUCCUGCCAAAGAACUAAUCCUCUACUGUUGCAAUAGUAGAAAAAAAGGAAAAGUUAGAGGUAAAACGCCAAUCGCACCACCUGAUAACUGGUAUUCGGAAAAAGAAGUAUAAGCUCCUUUUACCUAAAUAACAAGUCCAACGUUACAACAAACAAAGAUCACUUUCCAGUAAAAACAGAGGGCAGAAGAUAAGUUCUACCCUCAAAAGGGAAACAACCCUCAGCGUAAGCAAAGUCAUCAAAAAAAGGGGAAAACAACCAAAGUAGGCCUAAAAGCUGCCAACCAAAGAGAAAGCGUUAAAGCUCAAAUCUAUUAUCCCAGGAAUCCCUGCUACCAAAUCUACUCUUCGCUAUAGGUAUCCGAAAAAAACAAUGUUAAGAUAAGUAAAAAGAAACUCCUCUCGACUCACAAAGACACUCUAAUUCUUCAACCAAAUAGAGCAAAGUACAAGAAAGCUCCCCAUAUCAUCCUACCAACCCAGGCGUGAGAAAUAAAGAUCGGAGAACCAGGAGGAAAGGAACUCGGCAAAACAGAAAAAGGACUGUUUACCAAAAACAUAGCUCUUUGAAUAUUUAGAGGGUCCAGCCUGCCCAGUGGCUUAAAGCUAAACGGCCGCGGUAUCUUGACC